rnacentral:rRNA from 1 species
GGGGAAUAUUGGACAAUGGGCGAAAGCCUGAUCCAGCCAUGCCGCGUGAGUGAUGAAGGCCCUAGGGUUGUAAAGCUCUUUCAGUGGGGAAGAUAAUGACGGUACCCACAGAAGAAGCCCCGGCUAACUUCGUGCCAGCAGCCGCGGUAAUACGAAGGGGGCUAGCGUUGUUCGGAAUUACUGGGCGUAAAGCGCGCGUAGGCGGACUUUUAAGUCAGGGGUGAAAUCCCGAGGCUCAACCUCGGAACAGCCUUUGAUACUGGAGGUCUCGAGUCCGAGAGAGGUGAGUGGAAUUCCGAGUGUAGAGGUGAAAUUCGUAGAUAUUCGGAGGAACACCAGUGGCGAAGGCGGCUCACUGGCUCGGGACUGACGCUGAGGUGCGAAAGCGUGGGGAGCAAAC